UACGUAGGGACCAAGCGUUGUUCGGAUUUACUGGGCGUAAAGGGCGCGUAGGCGGCGUGUUAAGUCAGCUGUGAAAUCUCCAAGCUUAACUUGGAGCGGUCAGCUGAUACUGAUGUGCUAGAGUGCAGAAGGGGCAAUCGGAAUUCUUGGUGUAGCGGUGAAAUGCGUAGAUAUCAAGAGGAACACCUGAGGUGAAGACGGGUUGCUGGGCUGACACUGACGCUGAGGCGCGAAAGCUAGGGUAGCAAACGGG
rnacentral:rRNA from 1 species